AUGGGACCGGUGAAGCUGGAGAAGGUGGUGUUCGCGCUGAACGGGCGGCGGCACGAGGUGGCCGGCGCCGACGUGCACCCCGGUACCACGCUGCUCGAGUUCAUCCGCACCCGGACGCCAUUCACCGGCACCAAGCUCGGCUGCGGCGAAGAUUCGAGAGUUGAAGUCCUCUUCCUCUCAUAUUCUCAUUUCCCGCCUUUCUAUCACAUCGCUAAAAAUCUUGUGCGGCAGUGCUUACCUAUGGCUGACUGA
rnacentral:rRNA from 1 species